rnacentral:rRNA from 1 species
GGGGGGGGGGGGGGGGGGGGGGGGGGGGGGCGGGGGGGGCGGGCAGACGGGGAGGGUGGGGGGGGGGGGGGAGGGGGGGAGGGGUGAGUAACACGUGGAUAACCUACCUAGACGACGGGGAUAACUGCGGGAAACCGGAGCUAAUACCGGAUAAGAUAUUGGACCGCAUGGUACAGUAGGUAAAGACGGGUUUGCGGUCACUUAUAGAUGGAUCCGCGCCGCAGUAGCUAGUUGGUAAGGUAAAGGGCUACCACGGCAACGAUGCGUAGCCGACCUGAGAGGGUGAUCGGCCACACUGGAACUGAGACACGGUCCAGCCUCCUACGGGAGGCAGCAGUAGGGAAUCUUCCGCAAUGGGCGAAAGCCUGACGGAGCAACGCCGCGUGAGUGAUGAAGGUCUUCGGAUCGUAAAACUCUGUUAUUAGGGAAGAACAAAUGUGUAAGUAACUAUGCACGUCUUGACGGUACCUAAUCAGAAAGCCACGGCUAACUACGUG